rnacentral:rRNA from 1 species
AGUUAACGCUGGCAGCGUGCAUAACACAUGCAAGUCGAACGGGAAUUACUGGUGUAGCAAUACAUCGGUGGUUCUAGUGGCAGACGGGUGAGUAAUACAUAAGGAAUCUACCUAGAAGUGGGGAAUAACUGGCCGAAAGGUCUGCUAAUACCCCAUAAUAUAAAGAAGCGGCAUCGUUUCUUUCUUAAAGGUUUUUCGCUUCUAGACGAUCUUAUGGUCUAUUAGCUAGUUGGUGGGGUAAAGGCCUACCAAGGCGACGAUCAGUAGCUGGUCUGAGAGGAUGAUCAGCCACACUGGGACUGAGACACGGCCCAGACUCCUACGGGAGGCAGCAGUGGGGAAUUUUCCGCAAUGGGCGCAAGCCUGACGGAGCAAGACCGCGUGAGGGAGGAAGGUUCUUGGAUUGUAAACCUCUUUUCUCUGGGAAGAAAAAAAUGACGGUACCAGAGGAAUAAGCAUCGGCUAACUCCGUG